AUUCAAGCACUGGUUCUCAUAUGAUCAACAAAGUUAAACAAUGCCAAGCUUGGUCAAUACUUAGGUGGAUGACUACUUGGGAAUACCAGGUGCUGUAAG